GUAGUCUCGCACAGAUGCAUAUCAAUAAGCGGAGGAAAAGAAACUAACAAGGAUUCCCUUAGUAACGGCGAGUGAAGCGGGAAGAGCUCAAAUUCGAAAUCUUCAAGGUUUUACCUUGACGAAUUGUAGUUUAAAGAAGUGUUUUCUGUUGAAGUUUUGGUAAAAGUUCUUUGGAAUAGGACAUCAUAGAGGGUGAGAAUCCCGUAUUUGACCAUUAUUUUCAGCUGUGUGAUACACUUUCAAAGAGUCGGAUUGUUUGGGAAUGCAGUCCAAAAUGGGUGGUAAAUUUCAUCUAAAGCUAAAUAUUGGCGAGAGACCGAUAGCGAACAAGUACCGUGAGGGAAAGAUGAAAAGAACUUUGAAAAGAGAGUUAAACAGUACGUGAAAUUGUCAAAAGGGAAGCGUUUGACACCAGUGUUGUUUUCUCGAAAAUCAAUUAAAAAGAGUUAGAUUUUGUUGUGUAUUGACCUUAACAGCUUGCAUUUCAAUUUUCUUGCUUUUUUUAAUGCACUUUUCGUUUAACAAGUCAACAUCAGUUUCUUUUGUUGUAAAAAGGUCAUUGGAAGGUGGCUUUCUUUUCGGAGAAAGUGUUUACUAGCCUUUGACUCCUGCAAUCGGAGAGACUGAGGUCUGCAGCGUAGAUCCUUCGGGGUUAGAUACAUUUGUGCUAAGUUAUAGCUUUUUAUAGACAACUUGUUGACUAUGACUAGUCUUGUAGCUUACUCGCUUAUGCUAUUUUACCUACGCUUAGGAUGUUGAGCGCAUGUCUCUCUCU
rnacentral:rRNA from 1 species